rnacentral:misc_RNA from 1 species
ACACCUCAACUCUUCAUGGGUUUCUGUGAUGAGCUUGGACUUUGGGGGUUUUGCUGGCCUAUGGUCGGCUCCUCUAAAAUGAAUCAGCUUGCCAGUGUUUGGUGGGCAUCACAGGUGUGAUAAACUAUCUACGCUUGUGGUUUUCCCACCAGGUAACCUUCAGCAGUGGAGGUUCGCUGGAGCUCACAGAUGUCUCUCCUCGGUGAGGACACAACCCUUUGAAU